GACCUAGUGUUUGCGUAGUGGUUUGAGUGUUGGACUGUGACUCUGGAGGACAGGGUUCAAUUUCCCGUUUGGCCA